UUGUUUCGUUAACUGACGCGCACGUCAGUGACAGUCGAACGGUGAAGCAGAGCUUGCUCUGUGGAUCAGUGGCGAACGGGUGAGUAACACGUGAGCAACCUGCCCCUGACUCUGGGAUAAGCGCUGGAAACGGCGUCUAAUACUGGAUAUGAGCUGCGAUCGCAUGGUCAGCAGUUGGAAAGAUUUUUCGGUCUGGGAUGGGCUCACGGCCUAUCAGCUUGUUGGUGAGGUAAUGGCUCACCAAGGCGUCGACGGGUAGCCGGCCUGAGAGGGUGACCGGCCACACUGGGACUGAGACACGGCCCAGACUCCUACGGGAGGCAGCAGUGGGGAAUAUUGCACAAUGGGCGAAAGCCUGAUGCAGCAACGCCGCGUGAGGGAUGACGGCCUUCGGGUUGUAAACCUCUUUUAGCAGGGAAGAAGCGAAAGUGACGGUACCUGCAGAAAAAGCGCCGGCUAACUACGUGCCAGCAGCCGCGGUAAUACGUAGGGCGCAAGCGUUAUCCGGAAUUAUUGGGCGUAAAGAGCUCGUAGGCGGUUUGUCGCGUCUGCUGUGAAAUCCCGAGGCUCAACCUCGGGUCUGCAGUGGGUACGGGCAGACUAGAGUGCGGUAGGGGAGAUUGGAAUUCCUGGUGUAGCGGUGGAAUGCGCAGAUAUCAGGAGGAACACCGAUGGCGAAGGCAGAUCUCUGGGCCGUUACUGACGCUGAGGAGCGAAAGGGUGGGGAGCAAACAGGCUUAGAUACCCUGGUAGUCCACCCCGUAAACGUUGGGAACUAGUUGUGGGGUCCAUUCCACGGAUUCCGUGACGCAGCUAACGCAUUAAGUUCCCCGCCUGGGGAGUACGGCCGCAAGGCUAAAACUCAAAGGAAUUGACGGGGGACCCGCACAAGCGGCGGAGCAUGCGGAUUAAUUCGAUGCAACGCGAAGAACCUUACCAAGGCUUGACAUAUACGAGAACGGGCCAGAAAAUGGUCAACUCCUUGGGACAUUCGUAAAACAGGUGGGGGCAUGGUUU
rnacentral:rRNA from 1 species